rnacentral:rRNA from 1 species
UACGUAGGGAGCAAGCGUUGUCCGGAAUCAUUGGGCGUAAAGCGCGCGUAGGUGGCUUCGUAAGUCCGUUGUGAAAGUCAAAGGCUCAACCUUUGAAAGCCGAUGGAUACUGCGGAGCUAGAGUACGGAAGAGGCGAGUGGAAUUCCUGGUGUAGCGGUGGAAUGCGCAGAUAGUCAGGAGGAACACCAAUAGCGAAGGCAGCUCGCUGGGACGUUACUGACGCUGAGGAGCGAAGACGUGGGAGCGAACAG